rnacentral:lncRNA from 1 species
GGAUAUCCUGCUAGAUAAUAGCAUAGCUAUUGUUUCUAAUUGCUUAGGUGGGUGGGGAAACUGCUUUUUGGUACACAGAAAUUGCCCCCAAAAGAUGGGCUUAUACUUUGGAUGCCAGUUGCAAAAAGGAGAUAUCACUCCAAGUUUCUCUACCUGUCCCCACUAUCACUUCAGAAGUACUGGUGGCCUCCACCUCUUCAUUAGCAUGAUGUUCUUAGAUAGGGGUUGCCUACAGAUGAGUAGUUGAGAGUGAACUUCCAUCAUGUCCAUCAUUUGGGCAGUUUUCUCUGGAAGUCGUGACAAAUUCGUGCUGCCUUUUCUGAUGAGCUCAAGAGCAACCCCAAAGGCUGUCCUUGUAGUGGGAGGUCGAGUUCUUUUUAAAAAAGCAAACCAACCAUAUGUGGACACCAAUAUAUCUGUGCUGAGACUAGUCCUUUACUAUCUUGAGGUCUCCUACAAGUGUGGGUGGGAUGAUCUACAAUAUAAGAAUUAUCAGAAGGUAAAUGGUGAUUUUAGCCAAGAUGCUCGAGCAGAGACACCAGCCUGGCUCUCCUCAGAGACAAAAGGAUUCUCUGCAUGUCUUACAUAAUAUGGGAGAAGUAAAAGCAUCAUGUUUUUAAUGAUAUUAAAAGUGCCAGGGAAAUGCAUGAUUGUCUAGAUUUAAAGAUGCUGUAAUACAGCUUUCAUAUUUGCUUUUUCCUAUGGAAAGUUGUAAUUUCAUGCCAAAUUUUAAUUUAUUUCUCUCUGGCACAUGAAAAACAUUCUGUUUAAUUACAUCUAAAUUUGAUAGGAUACAUCUUUGAAAAUGAACCUUGACUUCUGAAAACUUGUAAUUUAUACCAUUUCUAAUUACACAAAUUGAAAACUUGUUUAAAGUCUCAUAGAGAGGAACCAAUCACUGACUUUUAUUUGUCAUUUUCUGAAUUGUGUUUAAUUUCUGAAAGUGCCUUCAAGUGCAAGUAAAAAAAAUCAGCCUCAAGCUGUUAGCAUGAGUACCCUUCCCCCCAAAUUAUCAUUCUUUUGAGAUUUUCAGAAAGAUGUGAUAACUUUUGAAAAAUAAAUAUUUCUCCUUUUUUUUUUUUUUUUUUACUACAGUGAGAUCAUCUCUUAUUUUUGCUGUUUUGUGUAACCCCACACAGAUGGUACAGAUACUGGGACUAAAUGGAUGAAGAGGCUGGGGUUGUUAGUUCAGCCAAGAGAGAGGCCGAAUGGCAGGUCAGUCAGGUUUGCAGGCAGGUGUAUCUGCUCAGGAAGCAAUGAUCAUCAGGUGCAAGGGAUAUAGCUAAACCUACCAGCCAUUAAGUGAGUUGGGGAUUCUCAACGUCUCUUAUGCUAGUAGUGUUUCUCUUUAGGGUAUACCAGCUGGGCCUUUUGCCAUGGAUUUGGGCUUAUCCCCCUAUGGUAUUUAGGGCAAGCAGGAAGAGAGAGAACUUAUAUCUCUACAGUUACUGCUCCGGCACCUCUCAGCCUCCACAGGGACAUAAUGGCACACUAAGCCUUCAGAGGUACUGUAAAAUUACUGUGAAGCAUAACUGCAGUCUUUUGACAGACUCUUUCUAUUGCUGGCAGUUGUCUUCAUUUGUUCCUAUUACUGUGUCAGUUAUUCAUGUUUUUUUUCUUGUCUUGAAGUGAUUUUUGUUUUUUCUUUUUUUUUUUUUUUUCUCCUUCCCUCUAACCUGACUUUAUGUAUGGAAAGAGAGGGUAAGGUGGCAGUUUAUCAGGUAAUGUUUUUAGGAUGUGAUACUGGGGGUCCCUACCCAGGAGGGGCAGCAUAUUCUUGCUAUCCUUACCCUGCAUGCACUUAACAGGAUUGGAGGGACCAAAUGAGUUAAGUACCAAUUCCUCAGAAAAUGAGCAAAACAAAAUGGGAGUGCUGAAUGCUGUGAAGGCAGUUGGUUUGAGUAAUCCUUGUUUGUUGAAAGAGAGGCUUAAAGGUGUAUUUAGAGUGAACUUUUAGGUCAAUUGCCCUGUGGCAGAACUUGGUAAUGUUUUUCUAAGUGUCCUUCAACAUAGAGAGAAAAAGCUGGUGUUAGCAUCAGCUAACAUGAGUCUAUACUGCAUCAGCAAGAGUCAACGGAUUAAUCCUUGAAACUUCUUUCUCUUCUUCAUCCUAAGUAUCUUCCCACUGCCUUGGAGCAUAGGGCAGGAGGGACAACUGUAUCAAUGCCUGAAGCAGUUCACAAGUUUCAAGUCCCAGGGUAACUUUGUAUAGCAAUUUAAUUCCAAGUGAAAUGGAGAGCAUCUAGUUCAGGUCUACAAAGAGUUACAGUGUGCUCCCACGUAAGCUUUGGGGCCUAUAGAACAAAAGGCAAGAAUUUUCAGAGAUUUCAAGAAUGUAUGGGGGAAAGCUCAUAGAAGUGAAAGAGUAAAAAUAUGUAUUAAUAAAGCCAGCAUAGGUAUUGAAGCUCUUGCUGAUACCUUUGCAAAGGAACGUUUCAUGCAGUCUGCUUUGAACAAGAGUCCGAAUACCUGAGUCUUGAUGCACGGGCUCAUUGUAUAGCUGAGUGCCCAAGAACAGGAGCCACAAAACCGUAAGAAGGCAGCCUAAGCAAGGCUCAGGAAUGCUGAGGAAAGCCUCACAGCUAAAUGGUUUUCUCUGCUGUCAUAGUGUACAAUAUUUCUCCUCUGCUGCAACUGUAAAAAAAGAGAAAUCCCACUGGGAACAAUAAGAAUGUGCAUGAAAUGGUAAUCAAAAUAAUAAUUUAAAUAAUUUUGAGCAUUAAUUUGGUUACAGUAGCAUCUGCAUUCACUGUAGAUCUUUUUAGUUCCAGAUUUCAGCAGGCUCUGUCCAAGUCUGAAUUUUCAUGACUGACCAUGCUUAAACCCUAGCUUAAAUGUUACAUGGCUCUUCCACUAAUGUUAGAAAAGCUGUAAGCAUCCUUAUCAUGAAAACCAUUCUUGAACAAUUCAAGGAACUGUCAGUCUCUUGAUAGCAAUGGUGUUAUCUUUGCUGUUGAUCGAGAUGUGUGAUUGUCAGUCACAUAAUAGGGUUUUUGUGUGCUACAGCUAUUGUUGUGCACAGACCUGAUUGAACUAAAGCCGAGAUCAGUGGUUUCAGUGGAAAUAACUGAUUCUAUGAAUUUGGCACAAAAUAUUUUCCUGAAACAUGGUACGUACUGUAACUUACUUUAAGAUUUUAGUAUGUCUACAUACCUUUUCCAAGGUUAUAUUGUGAAUUUACUACAAUCCUUAUGAGUAGGGCAAUGGGAGGUGAUUUUAUGUGAGAGUUUAUUUCGGUGCUAAUGCCUGAGGCGAUGCACAGCAAGGAGCAAAUUGUCUUGCGCUCAAGGUCAUGUGUCAGAUGCAUCCUUAGGUGUGCUGCAGUGCAAGAGGAAGUGUAAUUCCUCUCUCUCUGAAAAGACACUUUCUGGCAGGAAGACCCAUCAUGGUGGUGCUCUUGUUUCUUUUGCCGGAGGACUCUGUAUGCCCCCUGAGCUUGUACUGUGCUCCUGCCCAGGUGGCCUGUAAGGUGCGCUGCCCUCCUCAUUUUCCAGUCAAAAUAACUCCACAUUGAAGCAAUCAAGUUACCACUUGGCUAAAAAAAGGAAUAAUGUAUAUAUUUUUCCUCUUUCCUAAGGAUCUCCUACACAUGUCUUCUAGCUCAGCCUAACACUGCCACUUGCUUGUGGUCAUCGGGUAGGCACGUUCUGAAAGUACAGUUUGGUAUCCGAUAGCUGCUUUUCUUAAUUUUUCUCCUCAUCAAUGAAAUAGGUUUUUUCGCUUUAAUUAUAUAGGGAAAAAAUAGGAACUAACAUAUUUUAGUUCAAGGAAGAUUUUGUUUUUCUGAUGUUUGGGCUCUUCCAGCAUUUUUGUGAGCAGCUACUGCUUGGGAUUCAUUCUUAGCUUGCUUAAGUAAGCUGUAAUGAACACUAGAUUUAAAUUAAAGAACCCUAGUCUCCCUGCUUAAUCCUUCUUUGAGAACAUGUUCAGUUUUCAUUUGCUUGCUUGUUCAGGGUUUUGGUUUGGUUUUUUUUUUUUUUUUUUCCCAAUAUGGAUAACCAAAAAAGUGCUAAACAUCAUUUGCAGAAGUGGAAAACUCUGCUCUGUAAGUCACCCACCUAACUGGGAAAGACUGGAGGGAUUAGGGGCACGACAUGGCUUGAAUAGGGCUGGGGUUGUGUUGCAUAUGUGCAACGGUUGAAUCCUCUGGACUUUCACUUCUGAAAGCCUAGUUUUGCUCAAUGAAAGUAGGGGGGUUUUGUUUGUUUUUAAUGAGUAAUUAACAUUCUUGUGCUAUAAUUUCACUCCUGCCAACUCUUCAACCCGUGAGUAAUCUUAAAUGUGUGAAAUCUAAGCAUACAGAUUUAUAAGCCUGUUUUCCAGCAUUCAGUUACCGAUGCUGUUAGAUUAACACAACGCCGUUGCAAAAGUACAUGUUGCAGUGCUGUCACAGUGACCAUUGCCUGGGGACAGAGGCUUGAGAGGCUAGAGCAAAGCACUUGUUCUGUAGUUCAUUAGCUGUAAAACAGUUGUUACCAUUUUGAGCAAAUAAACUUAAAAUACCACACCAGCUUCUCCUUGUUUUUUCACUGCCUCUUUAUAUUUCAUAGUUUAAACUGAAGUGCAAGAGUUACAUACUGAGGAGCUUGUCACUGAUAACUGUAUCCAUGUUUUGGGGCGCUGAGACCUGAAACACUGGUGCAUGUUUCAGAUAGCUAUUGGUGCUCUGGUUGCUCUUCUGAACAGAUGGGUUGUAGUAGAGGAUACAAUUGAAAUUUGAGUGGAGUAAAGGGGGCCUCAAGAUCUGCCUGGUUGUAUAUUCUGAUCAGAAACAAGUAGGCUGUGUUUAGAUUUUGUGAUAAGCUGCACCUCCUCUACCCCUUACAUGUUUGUGGUGAUAUCAAGAAUUGAAUUGGAUGCAUUUCCCAGAGUGUUACUAAUUCAAACAUACACAUAUAUUUUUAUUAAAUAAGGAGAAAGUAUGGCAAAACUAAGUACAAAAAGAAAA